rnacentral:rRNA from 1 species
UGGGGAAUUUUGCGCAAUGGGCGAAAGCCUGACGCAGCAACGCCGCGUGGAGGAUGAAGGUCUUCGGAUUGUAAACUCCUGUCAGUGGGGAAAAAGGGGAACGUGCUCAUACCACGUUUCAUUGAUUGUACCCGCAGAGGAAGCCCCGGCUAACUCUGUGCCAGCAGCCGCGGUAAUACAGAGGGGGCAAGCGUUAUUCGGAAUUAUUGGGCGUAAAGGGCGCGUAGGCGGCCCUUCAAGUGGUAGGUGAAAUCCCUCGGCUCAACCGAGGAGCUGCCCGCCAAACUGAAGAGCUUGAGUCCGGGAGAGGUGAGUGGAAUUCCCAGUGUAGCGGUGAAAUGCGUAGAUAUUGGGAGGAACACCAGUGGCGAAGGCGGCUCACUGGACCGGAACUGACGCUGAGGCGCGAAAGCGUGGGGAGCAAACGGG